UAUUGCACAAUGGGGGAAACCCUGAUGCAGCGACGCCGCGUGAGCGAAGAAGUAUUUCGGUAUGUAAAGCUCUAUCAGCAGGGAAGAAGAUGACGGUACCUGACUAAGAAGCCCCGGCUAACUACGUUCCAGCAGCCGCGGUAAUACGUAGGGGGCAAGCGUUAUCCGGAUUUACUGGGUGUAAAGGGAGCGUAGACGGCGAUGCAAGUCUGAAGUGAAAGGCGGGGGCCCAAACCCCGGACUGCUUUGGAAACUGUAUAGCUGGAGUGCAGGAGAGGUAAGUGGAAUUCCUAGUGUAGCGGUGAAAUGCGUAGAUAUUAGGAGGAACACCAGUGGCGAAGGCGGCUUACUGGACUGUAACUGACGCUGAGGUUCGAAAGCGUGGGUAGCAAACAGGA
rnacentral:rRNA from 1 species